rnacentral:rRNA from 1 species
GAUGAACGCUGGCGGCGUGCUUAACACAUGCAAGUCGAACGGGAAUGCCACGCUGAUGCGAUUUCGGUCAAAUCAUGUGGCAUUCGAGUGGCGGACGGGUGAGUAACGCGUGGGUAACCUGCCUUACACAGGGGGAUAACACCUGGAAACAGGUGCUAAUACCGCAUAAGCGCACAGGGCCGCAUGGCCCGGUGUGAAAAACUCCGGUGGUGUAAGAUGGACCCGCGUCUGAUUAGCUUGUUGGCGGGGUAGGGGCCCACCAAGGCGACGAUCAGUAGCCGGCCUGAGAGGGUGGACGGCCACAUUGGGACUGAGACACGGCCCAAACUCCUACGGGAGGCAGCAGUGGGGGAUAUUGGACAAUGGGGGAAACCCUGAUCCAGCGACGCCGCGUGAGUGAAGAAGUAUUUCGGUAUGUAAAGCUCUGUCAGCAGGGAAGAAAGAAAUGACGGUACCUGACCAAGAAGCCCCGGCUAACUACGUGCCAGCAGCCGCGGUAAUACG